CCGGGAUAACACCUGGAAACAGAUGCUAAUACCGGAUAACAACAGAUGAUGCCUAUCAACUGUUUAAAAGAUGGUUCUGCUAUCACUCUUGGAUGGACCUGCGGUGCAUUAGCUAGUUGGUAGGGUAACGGCCUACCAAGGCGAUGAUGCAUAGCCGAGUUGAGAGACUGAUCGGCCACAUUGGGACUGAGACACGGCCCAAACUCCUACGGGAGGCAGCAGC
rnacentral:rRNA from 1 species